rnacentral:rRNA from 1 species
UACGGAGGGUGCAAGCGUUGUCCGGAUUUAUUGGGUUAAAGGGUGCGUAGGCGGCCCUGUAAGUUCAGUGGUGAAAAUCACUGCCAGCUUAACUGUAAGCAUUGCCAUUGAUACGUGUGGGGGCUUAGUUACAGAUGAGGUAGGCGGAAUUGAUGGUGUAGCGGUGAAAAUGCAUAGAUAACCAUCAAGAACACCGGAUUGCGAAGGCAGCUUACUAA